rnacentral:misc_RNA from 1 species
UUUCAGCAUCUUUAAUUUCAGUUUCCUUUACACCCUCAGAUUUCUCUGUUUCCUUGUUUUCCUUCUUUUUUGAACCUGGAGAUUUUCUUGCUCGUUUCCUUGGGGGCUCUUCCUGUGGUGGAGUUGCCUUGGCUUUCUCACUAAUCCUAGUUGAUCUCCUAGGUGUCUCGCCUGUACUCCAAUCAAAAUCCGAUACUGAAAUAUCUCCAGGGUGCGAUUUUAAGUACUGCUCGAGCUGUUUUUUAUUACUGAUCUCCUCGCCAGUAGGUGCUAUAAAUAUGAUAUCAUUCUUCCUUGGUGCACCUCCCUUCUUGGGUGAAAACAGUUUCUUCCAAGAAGGUGGAGCUGGAAGCUGAACAGAA